GUGAUCCUAUGUUGAAUUUAUGGUUAUCCUGAAUUUUUUCUUAUGUGGCUUGGUAAACUAUGAGUCAUCAUGAAUCCAUUUGUUAGUUAAAGUUUCACUAUGGAAUUGUUUAUAGGUCUCUUUUUUGUUUUAAUGUAUUGUUGGAAUCUUAAGAAAACCAUAUGCAAUUGCAGAAAUUGACCCUAAAAUUGUUUGAUGAAAUGUUAGAAAGAAAACCAAAAUGGGCAGAGCGUGUUCGAUAAAAUUCUAGAUAAAAACAAUUUAAGCUCUUGUUUUUUUUCCUCUAAAUUUAACUUCAUUAUGUAGUCGUUUGAUUCUUCUACUCGUGAGAUUAUUGCAACUUCUAUGAUCAUUAUGUUAUUUAUGACCCUCCAUGGAUCUGAAUCAAAGCUUGUGGAGACAAUUAUAUUGACAGGGUGUUAUUCUGAUGAUUAUAUAUAUAAGGACCCUAUAUAUAAAGAAAUUACAGCGAAACAUUUUGGUGUAGUAAAGAGUGCUCCCUCUGGUAGUAAGGAGCUUAGCUCAGAAAGCACGUUGGUGCCACUUUGGGUUCCAUCUUUGGGAAGCAGUAAAACUCCUCAGUCAGGAAGACCUAAAUAGUGUCUUGCUAUCAACAACAUAUCUCUCCCACCAUUAUUCGAUUUCUUCAAUCAGCUGAAUUUGCAAUAUGGCAUCCUCACAAAGUUCUUUACAGAAGAGAAUUGUCCUAUGAUGACUAUUAACCACAUGUACAGACAUGAUUCAACUUGAUAAUGAAUCAAUGUUUCCUCAAAAACAUGGGGUGAUUUUAUAAAGAAAUUCAUGGCAGUCAAUUUUUACUUUGGAAAGACUAUUGGUGACGAGGGUGAGCACAAGGACAAGAAGGAGAAAGAUAUGUUGUUUGAAAACGAAUUUGGUGUUUUAUUUUAUUUGUAAUUUUUAUUAGAGUAAAUGAUUCUUUUUUGAGUGGUUAAUUAUUUACUUUGUAAAUCUAGUUAUAUAUUUUUUAAGGUCAAGACGAUUAUGUUUAUAAACAAGGCUAUAUGAUUUUUGAGUCAAGUAGUAGUGUUAUAUUUGUCCAAAAUUUGUUUUAUUA